rnacentral:rRNA from 1 species
AUUGAACGCUGGCGGCAGGCCUAACACAUGCACGUCGAACGAGUGGCGGACGGGUGAGUAUUGUCUGGGAAACUGCCUGACGGAGGGGGAUAACUUCUGGAAACGGUAGCUAAUACCGCAUACCAUCAGAUGUGCCCAGAUGGGAUUAGCUAGUUGGUGGGGUAACGGCACACCAGGGCGACGAUCCCUAGCUGGUCUGGGAGGAUGACCAGCCACACUGGAACUGAGACACGGUCCAGACUCCUACGUGAGGCAGCAGUGGGGAAUAUUGCACAAUGGGCGCAAGCCUGAUGCAGCCAUGCCGCGUGUAUGAAGAAGGCCUUCGGGUUGUAAAGUACUUUCAGCGGGGAGGCGUUACCCGCAGAAGAAGCACCGGCUAACACCGUGCCAGCAGCCGCGGUAAUAC